rnacentral:rRNA from 1 species
UAGCUAGUUGGUGAGGUAAAGGCUUACCAAGGCGACGAUCUGUAGCGGGUCUGAGAGGAUGAUCCGCCACACUGGAACUGAGACACGGUCCAGACUCCUACGGGAGGCAGCAGUGGGGAAUUUUGGACAGGGGGGCAACCCUGAUCCAGCCAUGCCGCGUGAGUGAAGAAGGCCUUCGGGUUGUAAAGCUCUUUCGGCCGGGAAGAAAUCGCAUGGGCCAAUACCCUGUGUGGAUGACGGUACCGGAAUAAGAAGCACCGGCUAACUACGUGCCAGCAGCCGCGGUAAUACGUAGGGUGCGAGCGUUAAUCGGAAUUACUGGGCGUAAAGCGUGCGCAGGCGGUUUUGUAAGACAGGCGUGAAAUCCCCGGGCUUAACCUGGGAACUGCGUUUGUGACUGCAAGGCUAGAGUACGGCAGAGGGGGGUGGAAUUCCACGUGUAGCAGUGAAAUGCGUAGAGAUGUGGAGGAACACCAAUGGCGAAGGCAGCCCCCUGGGUCGAUACUGACGCUCAUGCACGAAAGCGUGGGUAGCAAACAGGAUUAGAUACCCUGGUAGUCCACGCCCUAAACUAUGUCAACUAGGUGUUGGGUGGGUAAAACCAUUUAGUACCGUAGCUAACGCGUGAAGUUGACCGCCUGGGGAGUACGGCCGCAAGGUUAAAACUCAAAGGAAUUGACGGGGACCCGCACAAGCGGUGGAUGAUGUGGAUUAAUUCGAUGCAACGCGAAAAACCUUACCUACCCUUGACAUGCCAGGAACUUGCCAGAGAUGGCUUGGUGCCCGAAAGGGAGCCUGGACACAGGUGCUGCAUGGCUGUCGUCAGCUCGUGUCGUGAGAUGUUGGGUUAAGUCCCGCAACGAGCGCAACCCUUGUCGUUAAUUGCCAUCAUUUAGUUGGGCACUUUAACGAGACUGCCGGUGACAAACCGGAGGAAGGUGGGGAUGACGUCAAGUCCUCAUGGCCCUUAUGGGUAGGGCUUCACACGUCAUACAAUGGUCGGUACAAAGGGUUGCCAAGCCGCGAGGCGGAGCCAAUCCCAGAAAGCCGAUCGUAGUCCGGAUUGCAGGCUGCAACUCGCCUGCAUGAAGUCGGAAUCGCUAGUAAUCGUGGAUCAGCAUGUCACGGUGAAUACGUUCCCGGGUCUUGUACACACCGCCCGUCACACCAUGGGAGCGGGUUCCGCCAGAAGUAGGUAGCCUAACCGCAAGGGGGGCGCUUACCACGGCGGGGUUCGUGACUGGGGUCAAGUCGUAACAAGGUAGCCGUAGGGGAACCUGCGGCUG